CGCGCAGGCGGUCUUGUCGGUCAGGUGUGAAAGCUCGGGGCUCAACCCCGGAAGUGCACUUGAAACAGCAAGACUUGAAUACGGGAGAGAAGAGAGCAAUUCCUGGUGUAGAGGUGAAAUUCGUAGAUAUCAGGAGGAACACCGAUGGCGAAGGCAUCUCUCUGGGCCGAUAUUGACGCUGAGGCGCGAAGGCGUGGGUAGCGAACG
rnacentral:rRNA from 1 species